AACGAACGCUGGCGGCAGGCCUAACACAUGCAAGUCGAACGCCGUAGCAAUACGGAGUGGCAGACGGGUGAGUAACACGUGGGAACGUACCUUUCGGUUCGGAAUAACUCAGGGAAACUUGAGCUAAUACCGGAUACGUGCGAGAGCAGAAAGAUUUAUCGCCGAAAGAUCGGCCCGCGUCCGAUUAGCUUGUUGGUGAGGUAAUGGCUCACCAAGGCGACGAUCUGUAGCUGGUCUGAGAGGACGACCAGCCACACUGGGACUGAGACACGGCCCAGACUCCUACGGGAGGCAGCAGUGGGGAAUUUUGGACAAUGGGCGCAAGCCUGAUCCAGCCAUUCCGCGUGCAGGAUGAAGGCCUUCGGUUGUAAACUGCUUUGUACGGAACGAAACGGACCCUUCUAAUACAGAGGGCUAA
rnacentral:rRNA from 1 species